rnacentral:rRNA from 1 species
CCUACGGGAGGCAGCAGUAGGGAAUAUUGCACAAUGGAGGAAACUCUGAUGCAGCCAUGCCGCGUGUGUGAAGAAGGCCUUCGGGUUGUAAAGCACUUUUCGGAGGGGAGGAAGAAAUGACGUUUACCCUCAGAAGAAGCACCGGCUAACUCCGUGCCAG